GAUUUCUGGUGUGAUUGUUUCAAUCUUUUAACGGUUACGUUAAAACGUAUUGAAAUUCGAUCUACCAUCGUUUGCCUUGUUCUUUUUGAUUUAUUUCAAAAAGAUCAAAACAAGGUAAUCUUUUACUUUGAAAAAAUUAGAGUGUUUAAAGCAGGCUUUUGCUAUGAAUACAUUAGCAUGGAAUAAUAAUCUAGGACUUCGGUUCUAUUUUGUUGGUUUCUAUAACUGAAGUAAUGAUUGAUAGGGAUAGUUGGGGGUGCUAGUAUUGGCCGGCCAGAGGUGAAAUUCUUGGAUUCGGUCAAGACUAACUUAUGCGAAAGCAUU
rnacentral:rRNA from 1 species